GAUGAACGCUAGCGGGAGGCCUAACACAUGCAAGCCGAGCGGUAUUUGUUCUUCGGAACAGAGAGAGCGGCGCACGGGUGCGGAACACGAGUGCAACCUGCCUUUAUCUGGGGGAUAGCCUUUCGAAAGGAAGAUUAAUACCCCAUAAUAUAUUGAGUGGCAUCAUUUGAUAUUGAAAACUCCGGCGGAUAGAGAUGGGCACGCGCAAGAUUAGAUAGUUGGUGAGGUAACGGCUCACCAAGUCAAUGAUCUUUAGGGGGCCUGAGAGGGGGAUCCCCCAGAAUGGGAACGGGGACCCGGACCAGAUGCUACGGGAGGCAGCAGUGAGGAAUAUUGGACAAUGGGUUAGCGCCUGAUCCAGCCAUCCCGCGUGAAGGACGACGGCCCUAUGGGUUGUAAACUUCUUUUGUAUAGGGAUAAACCUACUCUCGUGAGAGUAGCUGAAGGUACUAUACGAAUAAGCACCGGCUAACUCCGUG
rnacentral:rRNA from 1 species